rnacentral:rRNA from 1 species
CCUACGGGUGGCUGCAGUAGGGAAUAUUGCUCAAUGGGGGAAACCCUGAUGCAGCAACGCCGCGUGGAGGAUGAAGGUUUUCGGAUUGUAAACUCCUUUUGUUAGAGAAGAUAAUGACUGUAUCUAACGAAUAAGCACCGGCUAAUUCCGUGCCAGCAGCCGCGGUAAUACGGAGGGUGCAAGCGUUACUCGGAAUCACUGGGCGUAAAGAGCACGUAGGCGGGAAAGCAAGUCAGAUGUGAAAGCCUAUGGCUUAACCAUAGAACUGCAUUUGAAACUGUUAUUCUAGAGUAUGGGAGAGGUAGGUAGAAUUCUAGGUGUAGGGGUAAAAUCCGUAGAGAUCAAGAGGAAUACUCAUGGCGAAGGCGACCUGUUGGAACAUAACUGACGCUGAUGCGCGAAAGCGUGGGGAGCAUACAGGAUUAGAUACCCUGGUAGUC